CCAUUGCAAUUUUAGGAAGGUGAAGUGACCAAAAGAAAGUUAGGACCGCCACUGACCACCACUAUAAAAUCACCCAAGAGGAUGGCAAUUACGAUGCGAUUCAUCCAUUUCCUCAGCUGCGGCGGGAUGUCCGAGUUAUCGAUUGAUAUUGUUUUUCACAUCCGAUCGAAGGAGAAUUACAAUCCUGACAAAUACGUCUGCCACGGCGUCUCUGUAACAACUCCCCCAGCAAACCUACCCUCCACAACCGUUUUAUGUAUGGCAACAUAAAACCAAACCAAAAGAUACCCUUAUCCACCGAGUCCUACGUACAUACACACAAACAUAUAUAUGCAUAUCGUUAAACUUUUUUCAUGGGGAUUUCCAUUUUCCUGCUUAGAGCGCGUCUCGUUUGUCAGGGUUGUGAUUCUCCCUCGGUCGCGUGGAAAUGAUACCAGCUGCUGAUUCGAUCUGAACGGAAACUGAUCGGCGGUUAAAGCCGGCAACUUCCGGUUGAGUUGGCGAAAUCGGUUAGGGUUUGUUUAUGUCGUCUUCCUAUCUGAAAAUCCUGACCUAAUUUUCUGGUACCUCAAUUUUGAACCUGUGUAAUGCUACUUUUUUUAUGUCUGAGGUACCUCGUUUUUUAUGUGUGAUUCUUUCCUCAUCUCUCCUAUAUAUGAACUACUUCAAUGUUCAUAGUGAACAAUACAUGGUUCGAUUCAUGAACUUGCUUGUGGCAGGAUUAAAUUGUUGGCUUCUGUCGAGAUCUAGAUGCACAUAAUGUUAGCGACAGAGCUUUUUUCGGUUUCUUCAUUGUCAUCUAUAUGACUAUAUCUUUCGAUUUUCUUCAUAAUCUAUGGGGGCCAAUCCCUAGGGCUGCGAAUGAAUCGAGCCGUUCGUGAAUUGUUCGAGCCUCGACUCGUUGAAGGCUCGUUCGAGUUCAAUUCGUUUACUGAACGAACUAUUCGGCUCAAUUACGCUUGCGAACUUGGAGUAUAUAGAUAUCAUGAGAAUUUUAUAUAUAAACUUGAAUAUGUAUUAACUUAUAUAACUUGUGAAUGUAUAAACUGAUAUGGUUGUAUUUAUGUAUAUCUUCUUUUCAUAUGAUCUAUGUAUGAACUUUUUUACAUACGUAAUAAAUUUUAUUUGCAGCUCUAGACUUAUAUGUGAGCAUAAGUACCUUAUAUUUUUGGCUCGUCAAAGCUUGUGACCAAGUUCAAAUUGGACUCAAACUUAGGCAAGCUCGAGCUCGUUACAUUUUCAUCGAGGGCCUAAGUCAAGCUCGUUACAUUUUUUUUGAGUUCAAGCUUGAGUUAGAGUUCGCUGAAAACUUAACGAACAAAUCUGGACAUUCUUAUAUUCGUCUCCGUUCGGCUUGUUUACAGCCCUAUGGGCAAUCCCCCAUUCCACUAGCGGGGGCCUAAUCACUAGCUGUAUGUUUUAUGAAUGAUUUUGUUUCAACUUUUCACUUUGCAGAAGGGUAUAUGAUUAAAUUUGGUAGUGUUAUACUUCUAUUAAAAAGGAAGGUGUACGUUAGGUUUCCCGGCCUUUUCUUUUUUCGAUUUCAAUGCGCCUUUGGUGCGUCCAGCUCUUCUGCCUAGUGUGGAAAUUGUGAAGUUGAUAAUAGAGUUCUUCAAGCAUAAUGGCUUUUAGGAUUUUGAUCCUAGAAAGCAGUAAUCCCUUUUCAGUUAUCCUAAAUUCCUAACACCCAAUUUCGGAAAAUUUAUCUUGACAGUCCUCUAGCACACACUAUAAACAUGCUAGCAGAUUUAUAGGAGAGCGGUUAUAUAUUCUAUGCUUUUUGAGACGCGGAAGUAGAUGGAUGUGGCAUAAGAGUUGGAAGUUGAGGGAUGCUUGGUCGAAAAGAGAGCAUGUUGAGGUUUAAUUAAGUUCCAAGUUCUAGACCUUAUUGGUUGGCACUUGGCAGGAGGGAGGAAAUUGACAAGUAAUACAGAUCCAGCAUUGAUAUUCUGGAGGAGACAUACUGAGCUAGUCCUAACUCCCAUGUGAGGUUACGUUCUUGACUACAUCUCUCAACUUAGGAUUAGUAUGGAUUGCCCAGGAAGGUAGGAUUCAUGAUGAUGUAAUGGGACUCUUCAUCUGCAUGCAGAUAGAGAUGCUUAGUCCAAUUUCCUGCAUCUCAAUUUCUUCUUUGAAUUGGUCGUCUAGUCCACUGGUAAGGCCUUACAUAACAGUUCACCUGGUUGGGGAACUAAAUGAAGUUGUCAAAGAAACGGCCAAUUUCUAACUUAAGGGGAACUGCUGGGAUUAAAGUGGAAAACCACUUUCGUAUUUUGGUAGGGGAGUUGGAUGCUCAGUUUUGGUAAAAGAGGAUAGAAGGGCCUCAUUGGCUUAUGUUCUGAUUUUAUUUGAUGAACUGUAGCAGUAGAACCUUAUGUGGUUUCUUUCUCUUGCUGAUUUAUUUUAGUAUGUUUGAGAUUUCUUUAGGUCCAACUGGUUUGAUGUAGUAUUACACAAAGCAGCUGUAUGCUGUUAAAAUGCUAUACUAUCCACCUCUAGUCAAAGGUAGGGGAUGCAUAUACAAAACAUUUUAAUGUCUAAUCAUAUUCCUUGCAUUUUCCAUCCUAAAACGAAUGCAAGAUCCAUAAUGAGGUGUUUGAACAGGGAGAAGCUGGCAUGCCAUCCUCAGUGAUGGUUUGAGAGCCUUGCACGGUGAACUGAUGCAUUGUUGCGGCAAAUGAACCCACGAAUGAAGUAUCCAAUUUUGGUGGUCAGCACGUGAAUCCUCGGCUCCCCUGCAAGUUGGAGUCCCUAUCAAUCAAUCCAUGAAGGGUCUGAAGAGGCCAUUAAAGCAGCCGCUAUGGUACGCUGCGAAGCAGUUGACAAGAAGAAUUGGUGAUAUAGCAUGAGGUUCUUCUGCCUGAGAGCUGCGAGAUGUCUGGAGCAGCUUGUGUGCACAUUGACUAAUCCUCGACUAUUUAAUGGUAUACAUAAAUAGUUUUUUACAAGAGAAUUUCACAUUCGCUUCUUUGCUUUUAAUUUUCUCUCUAAAAUUGAUCCACGCCUAUUUCUCCCAACCGCUAAUAAGCAGAAGAGAUCAGACGUUGUCAUUGAGAUCAUAGGGCACCUUUUAACCUCAACUGGUUGGUAUGGUGGUCUAGGCUUGGAACUUAGGAGUUUGUUUCAUCCUAAGGUUUCAUAUUCAAAAUCUCCCAGGUGUUAUUAACUUUUUUGGAGCCGGUCUAUACAGAGUUUUGUUUUGUCUUUAAAUGGGCCUGCGCGAGUGGAUGGUGAGAUUGAUUUUUCAUGAUUAGUCGAGUUAUGGGCAAGCUAACUAGGACACAUGAUUAUCAAAAAGGAGAUCAAAGGUUGUCUGUCCCACAUCGGGGAAAAAAGUAAAGUAAAGAUAUUAUAUACGAAAACGCGACCAGCUACUGUAUAACUUGAGAUUAACCUUUUGAACCACGUGGUCAGGCUAAAGGUUAGCAGGUCAGCUGGCGCAGGUCGUUACAGUUGGUAUCAGAGCACAACCUCGGUCUACAUGAUGGGGGCCACCUCUAAAAUCUAGUAUGAGUACACAAAUGUGUUGUACAGAGAUAAGUGCCACACCAUGGACUAGGGAAGGUUGCUGGGAGAUUGUGAGACCUCAUGUCCCACAUCGGUGGGCAACGUUGAAAAAGCAAUGAUAUAUAACAAAUUUUGGCUAGUUACUGUAUAAUUUGAUGUUAACUUUUUGAGUCAGGUGGUUAGGGUAAGGUUUA